AACUCAAUUUUUCUAAAUAAAUAAUCAAAUCUAGAAGAGUUAAAAAAAAAAGAUUGCUGAACACGUACAGCUUGUACUUGGAGCUGCAGGUCAUUCUUCUCUUGGACCAGAGUCACCAGUUUUUCCUCUAGCUCCUUCCUUUUUGCCUCCGACUUGGCGAGUUCAUCUUUGGUUUUCUGGAAUUCUUCCUUCAUGGUGGCCAUCUCUUUCUCAGUCUCCGCACUCUUGAGGAGGGGCUUGAUCUUGAAGAAGAGUUUCAUCCAGGGCCAGUGCUUGACGUUCAUGAAUGAGCGAAUGUUGUACUGGAUGCAGAAGAUGGACUCCCUAAAAACAAGACAUUGCUUAUUUCUGAGAGAGACUCCCCUUCCCCAAAGAGCUCAUGUUUGAACAAAGACCCUGCUGGACCUCCUCUGCACCAUCUUCUGGAAUUCCACACGCAUGAGGAACCCUCUGCACACAGCUUGUGUCCGGGUGAUUAGUUUGGCCAGGCGGUCAUCCCGCAUCUCUUCCAGGGUUCCCAGCAAGCCAGCCUUGAAGAACACCUUAUGGGGCAGAAGGGUGACAUGAGUCAGUUUCCUAGAGAAGCUGUGUCAAGAGGACGAAAAGGCCAGCAUCUGUCAGAACUGAUGCAUUACCUUGGUAUGUCCAAAUUUGUACUGAGUGUGGUCAAUAUCAAUGGAUGCCAGAAGCUUUUCACAGGCUUUCUUGCUGUCAAUGAAUUGUCCCUCAGGGAUUGCACUGGCAUUCAGCACUCGGUAUCUGCAUUGUAGACACGGAAAUCAUCACAGACUGUUGGCAAAGACACAAACCUUGGAGAACAUGUAGUUCAGGCCUCUCUUCCGAUAGGCAGAAGGCCAAGGUCCCAGGAGAUGAGGGAACUAGCUCGGAGUCACAUUGCUAGAGAGCAGUCUAGAAUCUAGAUCUCUUGACUCUUCAGUCAGAGCUUUUCCUGCCAUUUUGUAUACCAGAUAAAUUCCAGAGAAAAACAUGGAAGAAACAAAUAUAUAUAACUUGGCCAAAUGGUAGAUUGUUCAGUUUACAUGGAGGUCCAUAUCUGUUCUUUCAAAAUAGGUCUUUUCAUACGAAUCUUUCUCCCUCUCAAAUUCCAGUGUUCGUACAUCUCAUCCCCAAGCAUAUAGAACAUGUUUAUUACACACCUUUGUUUAAAAUCUCCAUAGAGAAUCCUGUUUGGGAACCCUUUCCUGCAGAUGCGGAUGCCCUCCAGGACACCGUUACACCGCAGCUGGUGCAGAACAAGGCUGUGUUCCAUAGCCCCUGGGAACAGAAGCGAGAUAUCAGCCUUACACAGAAUUUCUUAAAAACUGAGCACCACCUAGCGAGCCAGCAGGUGUCUCACCUGGAGUUUUGGUUUCAUUGGGAAUUAUACAACGCACAAAAUGAGGGGCAGAGACAGUUUGGAAGGAAGAACCCUUCUUCUUGGCAACUUUCUUCUUUCCACUGUCAGCUGAAAGCAAUAAGGGAGGGCACGUGCUGUAGGUGCAUCUAAAAGGUUUUUGUUACUGUGGAACAAAUGGAGGGAAAUCACAUGAACACAAAGCACUCCUCUUACCAUCCGCCGUGGCAAACGUGGCAUAGAGGUGUGCCAGGAGCCUGUUGGAAGACUUCUGGUACAGCCCGACCACAGUCUCGUUCAGAGGGUCCUUGUUCUUCUCCAGCCAACCUGAGACACUGUAGUCCACGGUGCCCGCAUAGUGGAUCAGUGAGAAGUGAGCCUCGGCCCUGCCUUUGACCACCUUGGGCUUCUGGAAGUUGUUGGACUUUCCAAGAUGCUGGUCAUACAGCUUGUUCUUGAAGGAGGUGUCUGUUGCCUUGGGGAACAUGCACUCCUCUUCCAGGAUGGAGAAGAUGCCCAUAGGCUGGAUUGAAGGCAAGGCAAAGUGCAGAGAGGUAAAUAUGAGCUGCAGUAAUGAGCAGAAGAGUCUAUGAGAAGAGCUUACGGUGGGGAUGGAACUGGAUACCUUCUCGAUGAGCUCGAUGCAGGCAGCCAGGUCCAUCCCGAAGUCAAUGAACGUCCACUCGAUGCCUUCCUUCUUGUACUCCUCCUGCUCCAGCACGAACAUGUGGUGGUUGAAAAACUGUUGCAGUUUCUCAUUGGUGAAGUUGAUGCACAGCUGCUCCAGGCUGUUAUACUAUAAAAAAAUACAACAUUCAUGUGAAAAGUUAGACUUCUUUCAGAAUCAAAGACUGUCAACAUUCCUCCUCAUUGCCCCAGGUUCUUGUCAAACACAUUAAUGCUUUCAAAUACAAUCACAAUCUUCAA